AUGUGUUAUCAAAACCUUUGCAAGCUGAAAACAACUGUUCCUUCCUACUGAAGAGAGGCUUUUUGUGUGACACCCAUUGUUAAAUAGACUCAGGUGUGCACUGAAGCAAUUACAGCUUCUCCCACCACCACAGUCACUUGCCUCUAGACAAAGGAAAUCAGACAGCCUUGUAAAGCAUUUAUUUGCUGUACCUAGACAAUUUCUUUAAAAAACUCUACCUCCAGAACAAGAGAUUGCUACCUUAACUCAGGAAAUGCAGUUAUGCCUUGAAUUUGUUCAAAUAUGUAGAGAAUGAUUGCAUUCACCUCAUCUGUCUACCUGAAAGGUAUAAAAAGGAAGAAAACUGACUUGUUCUGUACCACUUGCAGUUAGAGAUUAUUCUAACCGGUAGUGCACUGAAGCUCAUCUACAUAAACUUCAUUCUUCUAUGCUGUUGUUUAUCCUUCCAACAAUUCCAUUGUCAGUACUCUUUCCUAAUGUAGCCUUACAAGUGCUCUGUCCAUAACCUACUUCAUGUGACUUGUCUUGCAUUUUGACCUUGGUAUUCCAUAAUUUAGACUAAACUCCUAGAUUUAAUUUUGCUCUGUCUGUAAGGUAUCAUUGUAACUUAUGCUGUUAAAAAGAAUAACCCAGUUUAAAGUUGUGCAGAAAACAGCAGCUCAGUUGUGACUACUUGUUCAUUUAAGCCAUUUUCAAACCCCAGACAUCAGGUCACCACCUUAGCACACCAAAAAUGUAAAUAAUACAGUAGGCAGGUCAAAUAAAAAUCACAUCAAAAUGUGCAGACAAGGGGCAAUGAAAUGUUUAAAACAUCCAACAUUUCAAAAGGACAUACACCCUGUUAAAUUCUGCUGACCUAACACAGAUGACAACAGCACUCUAGGUCCAAUGGCAGUUCUGCAAUAGUACCUGCCUCUUCCUCUGGUCAAGAGUGGCCUUUUGGGCCUUCUCUUCUAGAUGUGCAAAGCAGGCACGCUUGCUCCCAGGGGGCUAGGAUGGAAGGAUUAAAUCAGGCAAAAAGGGGUCUAAGAUGAUAUUUUGGUCCCUGAAUAAACUAUACUACUGUAGUACAAACGCUAAUUGUGGGGGAACCCUGCUGCCUAUAAGUGAGAUAUUCAGUACCUACGACUGUGCAUGUGCCAUUCCUUCAUGACUUCAUGAAACCAGAGUAUGUUGUACAGAGCUAAAUAAAGUGGCUUGUCAAACUGGAUGAUGAAGCACCCUACAUUCAGAUACCUAGAAACGCAGCAACAGUUCAUGUUGCAGUCAACUUUCUGUGUGUCUUUCUUUUAAUUGACUUAAUUCUUAGAAAUUGACAGUAAUCCUAUCUAAGCAACUUAAAUUGUAAAGUUUGAAUCCAAGGUUUUUCGAUUCUGGGUGCAUGUGAUGCAUAGUUUAGGCUUUGAAACCUAGAAGGCCUAUGCAUUAUGUUGAAAUACAAAAUGUAUGUUUAAAUGUCUUUCUGGACUCUGUGGCUUAAGACGUAUUUAAUGAAUUCUACGUCACUUGGACUCAAUUUAAAGUAUUUGCUAUGCAGAAGCAGCUUUGUGUAAAUACUGCCAUAAGAGGAAGAAAAC